rnacentral:miRNA from 1 species
UGUUGGACGGCGGUCGGGCGGGA